rnacentral:rRNA from 1 species
AGCAGCCGCGGUAAUUCCAGCUCCAAUAGCGUAUAUUAAAGUUGUUGCAGUUAAAAAGCUCGUAGUUGAAUUUCGAGAUCAAUUUGUUGGUCGUGCCUCGGUACGUACUGGCAAUUUUGAUUUCUCCCUUCUGAAGAACCAUGAUGUCAUUAAUUUGGUGUCAUGGGGAAUCAGGACCGUUACUUUGAAAAAAUUAGAGUGUUUAAAGCAGGCUCGCGCUUGAAUACAUUAGCAUGGAAUAAUGAAAUAGGACGUUUGAUUCUAUUUUGUUGGUUUCUAGGAUCGACGUAAUGAUUAAUAGGGAUAGUUGGGGGCAUUAGUAUUCAAUUGUCAGAGGUGAAAUUCUUGGAUUUAUUGAAGACUAACUACUGCGAAAGCAUUUGCCAAGGAUGUUUUCAUUAAUCAAGAACGAAAGUUAGGGGAUCGAAGACGAUCAGAUACCGUCGUAGUCUUAACCAUAAACUAUGCCGACUAGGGAUCGGAUGAUGUUAAUUUUU